CAAAUAAAGAUACCAGGACAACAAAGAAAAAAUUAUAAUAUGAGUAAAUUAGAAAGUUGCUUACAAUUGCAUGCUUUAUCUGAAUCAUGAAAAAAAUUUGGGUUCAGUAUCCCUUUAAUAUACUGAAGGGCAAGUUCAGUAAUAUACUGAAUAACAAUACAUUAUCAUACAGUGAGCAAAUUAUAGUAAUAUAUACUCAAAAUCAGAGUGAAAUACUAUUAUAGAAAUAAGGGGAAAUAAUAAACAUAUAUACAGGAAUAAUAUACAUACAUACAGGAGAAUUGUAAGCAAUUAUUUAUUGUAGGUCAAACAGCAUAAAUAAAUUCACAUUUAUUGGUGGUAUAUUAUAUACCACCAAUAUAUUCCAAUUUAUUUAUGCCCUGUGACCUUCACUAAAUAAUUGCUUACAUUUCUCCUGUAUGUAUGUAUAUUAUAUGUGCCAGAAUAGUAAUAUAUAUAAACUCAAAGAGAAUGCCUCUUGGUGUGAUGGGCUAUACUAUUAUAUAAAUGAUAUUGGGACAUUAGUUCCAGGGCUAUAAUGUGCUGGGGAUAAGGGGGCUACACAUAUUUUAUUUGGCUAUGUUAAUAAUAUACUGUGAAUUAAAAGGUAAAAAUAUUCAGGUAUACCAAAAAAUAAUUUACCGAAAAUGAAGGUACAGUAAAUAUUCUAGUGUGCCAGCGAAAUAAUAUUCUGAGUUUAGAGGACAACGCAAAUAAAUGUUUGUUUGCCCUGGAAUCAUGGGGUUGUAAAUAUUCAUCUAUUGGCAUUGUUUUUUUGGGUAGGGACAAUAAUGUACUGCAAAGGAGGGUAUAAUAAUAAACUUGUGAAAAGAGCAAAAAUAUUUUGCUUAAAAGGAUAGAAAAGUCAAAAAUAAAACUUGCAUGGGAGCAUUUCUUUGUGAAAUAUACGCAUUUUUGUAAUAUACUUAUUAGCAAAAAUGCUUCUAGUAAAGUUAUUACUGUCUUCCAGCAGCAUACGCACAUAUUCUGGGAGUGCCCAUGUACCAGUAUUCAUACACCACCCCUACAAGCAGUAGCUUGUAUAACACAAAUUAUGUCUUCAGCAGCAAUACACACAACAGCCAGCUCUGUGAGCAAGCAUGGUGUUUAAAUACAGGUAGACCUCAUUUUACAGCGCUUCGCUAAUACAGCGCUUUGUGGAGCUGAAGUUCAACCUCCAAGGAUUUUGAAACAGUGCUGUAAUCUUCUUGAGAUUGCGAGAAAAGUGACUGGCACUAUUUUGUUAUGUGCAGUUCACUCUGUUUACAGCAUUAGAGUGCUUUCUGUGUCUCAGUGUUAUAGUCUGGCAAAUUUUACUAUAGUAAUUGUCACUAUUUUACAGGUAUAGUAUUUAUUGAAUACUAAAUAAAUACUGUGCUGUGCCAGUGUUAAACUAAACGUAGCAUUAUUGCACCCCUAAUAUAUGUUAAUUCAAACAUGUUUUCAAGUUUUUAAACAGAUUGGCAAGUGAAAAGAAAGCUAGAACCGCCUUGUUUCGAUUUAAUGCGGUUUUCACUUCACAGCGGGGCUCCGGUCCCUAACCCGCAGUAUGAGCGCGGUAUACCUAUACUGGUUCACGGCCCUCACAGGAUAUACAAAGUAUCUCCAGGGGUCAAGUCGAGCAGGAACGCAUCGGAAUGGAGUUCCUGCACUAUUUUUGCAGGUGGAACUAAGUUCCCUCUGGACAAAGAACAAAAACACUGCUGGUGGGAGGAGCUGGAGCACAGUCUGGUUAGAGGGAUAGUGAGAUUCUCUAGUAAUGGGCAGUAACAUUUCUUACAAUACACUAAAUGCAAACCCGUCAGCGGUCCUGCUAUGUGAUCAGCCCACAAUGUGUGUAACACAUGGUGCUGUGUGGCUUGCUCUGGGGUUAUUUAGCUCCCCUUAGCAGAAAUAGGACUAUUGCACCGUAAGUGGGUGAGACUCUAUUACAGAGGAGGAUUCUCUGGCCCAAAGGCAACCAUUCAACCGUUCAUAUAUAAAACAAUAUUAAUUGUGAGGGUGGUGGAAGUCUUGGUGAGUUCCCACACAUUUUUGUAGCACUUGACCCCUGAGUAUCUCCCAGAAAUAGUGUAGGAGACGUGCCAAUGAAGAUUGUGGUUUUCUGCAAGAAACUACACUGAUAAGAUCAUAUACAGAGUGUCCACAGCACCUUUUCUUUAAAUAACUCCUUUAUCGGAACAGAUUAAAGUACAUGCAACAUUUCGAGUCCGAAACAUUGUAUGUAUAUUAAUCUGUUCCAAUAAAGGAUUUAUUUAACAAAAUGUGCGGCAGACACUCUGUAUAUGGCCUCACAGGAUAUGUGCAUAUGCUGCUCGAAACUUGUAAUAACCUUUACUUAAAGCAUUUUUGCUAAUGGAAGUAUAUUGCAAAAAUGUUUGUAUUUCAAAUAGAAAUGCACCCAUGUACAAUUCAUAAAAACUUCCUAUCCAUUUAAAUGGUUAUUAAAGGGCAGUAUUAAAGGGCAGUAAUAUGUGGAUGGAGCAAAAUAGAUUUAACAAAAUGACAAUUAUAUACUGGGGGGGGGGGGGAUAUAUACUGGUAAAUGAAGGGCAAUUAUAUGAACUUCAAAAUAAUAUACCUGUUAAUAUAUAGAUUAACAAUUUAUGCAAAUAAUCAUGUGAUAAUAGAAUAACAUAGAUGAAACAUAAGUGUUAUAGUAUACUGGAAAAAAGCUUCCCAAAUGUAUAUGUUAGAAGAGAGCUAUUGUACCCUGGAUAUCAAAAACAAUAACAUGCUGGACCCAUACUAUACUAGUAAUGAGACCAAAAUAUACUUGUGACAAUGGACUUUAAGGGAUACUAAACCCACAUUUUUUCUUUCAUGAUUCAGAUAGAGCAUGUAAUUUUAAGCAACUUUCAAAUUCACUCCGAUUAUCAAUUUUUCUUCGCUCUCUUUGUAUCUUCAUUUGAAAAUCAGGAAUCUAAGCUUAGGAGCCGGCCCAUAUUUGGUUCAGCACCUGGGUAGUGCUUGCUGAUUUGAGUGCUCCCCAGGGUAAUACAGUAAUUUACACUGUGUAGGGGGCAAUGGAUAUAUUAAGUUACAAGAGGAUAUAUCAACAUUGCACUCUGCAGAAUGGUUGGCAGUUAUGACAAUGUGAGCCAGUUUUCUUUAAAAUGGACCAGAAGUUUAACUGAGAUUAAGGGGAAGGGAUAUAAUGAAAAAGGCAUUAACAUAAAAUAAAAUGCUGAAGACCAAAGAUGGUGAACAGAUAUUACCAGUAUUGCACUGAUGGUCUGUGAUAUGUUGAGUGUAUCUAGUCUGUGGAGAGUAGAUAGUGAACAUAAAGAGAAGAAAGAAGGGAUAUCUCUGUUAUGACUGGGGAACGGAGGGGGGGGGGGUCAGUUUGAAUUAAUAGGAAGUCAGGCUAUUAGCUGUGCUGUUACAAAAUUUGAGGUAAUAGCUGUGUCACAACUGGACAGCAGGGGGCAAUAGCUAUACUGUGAUUUAUAUGCAGGAUACAUAUAUUAUUGUUAUGCACUGUUACACACUGAUUGGGAACUAUGAGCAACAUCUGCAUUGACACUACAGAGCAGGAGUAAUUAGUGCUCAUAUCAGUGAAAAGCAGGAGCAAUAUCUCUCAUAAGCAGCCAUGAAACAGGGUGCAGAACAUAUACUAUUACUGACAAUUGUUGCACUGCUGGUGGGAUGUGUGUGUGUUUGUACAGUAGCUACACUGCAUCUGUAAUAUAGAGUGACUGCCACUGUAAUGUAGGGAAGGGUUUUUAUGUAGGGAAUGGUUAGUUUUACUGGCAUAGAGCAACUCUUGUCCAGCUGCUGGCAGUGGUGGUUCUUGAACUUAAUAUUUGGGAGAGAACUAAUUGGGGACUAACAAAGGUGGUAAAAAAGUUGAAGUAAACAGGACACAUAAUAUAUGGAGCACUUCACAGCUUCACCCCCAUAGAACUGCUGGGAUGUUGAGGAUGUGUGGGGCAGUAGUUGCACUGGUGCUGUUAUGUUAGAGGUGUAACUGUACUUCAUCUGGGAGAUAGGGGGCAGUAGUUGUACUGGUGCUGGGAUGUAAGAGGUGUAGCUGUACUUCAUCUGGGAGAUAGGGGACAGUAGUUAUACUGGUGCUGGGAUGUAAGAGUUGUAACUGUACUUCAUCUGGGAGAUAGGGGGCAGUAGUUAUACUGGUGCUGGGAUGUAAGAGUUGUAACUGUACUUCAUCUGGGAGAUAGGGGGCAGUAGUUGUACUGGUGCUGGGAUGUAAGAGGUGUAGCUGUACUUCAUCUUGGAGAUAGGGGACAGUAGUGGCACUGGUGCUGGGAUGUAAGAGGUGUAGCUGUACUUCAUCUGGGAGAUAGAGGGCAGUAGUUGUACGGAUGCUGGGAUGUAAGAGGUGUAGUUGUACUUCAUCUGGGAGAUAGGGGGCAGUAGUUAUACUGGUGCUGUUAUGUAAGAGGUGUAGCUGUACUUCAUCUGGGAGAUAGGGGGCAAUAGUUGUACUGGUGCUGGGAUGUAACAGGUGUAGCUGUACUUCAUCUGGGAGAUAGGGGGCAGUAGUUGUACUGAUGCUGGGAUGUAAGAGGUGUAGUUGUACUUCAUCUGGGAGAUAGGGGCAGUAGUUAUACUGGUGCUGUUAUGUAAGAGGUGUAGCUGUAUUUCAUCUGGGAGAUAGGGGGCAAUAGUUGUACUGGUGCUGGGAUGUAAGAGGUGUAGCUGUACUUCAUCUGGGAGAUAGGGGGCAGUAGUUGUACUGAUGCUGGGAUGUAAGAGGUGUAACUGUACUUCAUCUGGGAGAUAGGGGGCAGUAGUUGUACUGGUGCUGGGAUGUAAGAGGUGUAGCUGUACUUCAUCUGGGAGAUAGGGGGCAGUAGUUAUACUGGUGCUGGGAUGUAAGAGGUGUAGCUGUACUUCAUCUGGGAGAUAGGGGGCAGUAGUGGCACUGGUGCUGGGAUGUAAGAGGUGUAGUUGUACUUCAUCUGGGAGAUAGGGGGCAGUAGUGGCACUGGUGCUGGGAUGUAAGAGGUGUAGCUGUACUUCAUCUGGGAGAUAGGGGGCAGUAGUUGUACUGGUGCUGGGAUGUAAGAGGUGUAGCUGUACUUCAUCUGGGAGAUAGGGGGCAGUAGUUAUACUGGUGCUGGGAUGUAAGAGGUGUAGCUGUACUUCAUCUGGGAGAUAGGGGGCAGUAGUGGCACUGGUGCUGGGAUGUAAGAGGUGUAGUUGUACUUCAUCUGGAAGAUAGGGGGCAGUAGUGGCACUAGUGCUGGGAUGUAAGAGGUGUAGCUGUACUUCAUCUGGGAGAUAGGGGGCAGUAGUGGCACUGAUGCUGGGGUGUAAGAGGUGUAGCUGUACUUCAUAUUGGAGAUAGGGGACAGUAGUGGCACUGGUGCUGGGAUGUAAGAGGUGUAGCUGUACUUCAUCUGGGAGAUAGGGGGCAGUAGUGGCACUGAUGCUGGGAUGUAAGAGGUGUAACUGUACUUCAUCUGGGAGAUAGGGGGCAGUAGUUGUACUGGUGCUGGGAUGUAAGAGGUGUAGCUGUACUUCAUCUGGGAGAUGGGGGCAGUAGUUAUACUGGUGUUGGGAUGUAAGAGGUGUAACUGUACUUCAUCUGGGAGAUAGGGGGCAGUAGUUGUACUGGUGCUGGGAUGUAAGAGGUGUAGCUGUACUUCAUCUUGGAGAUAGGGGACAAUAGUGGCACUGGUGCUGGGAUGUAAGAGGUGUAGCUGUACUUCAUCUGGGAGAUAGGGGGCAGUAGUUAUACUGGUGCUGGGAUGUAAGCGAUGUAGCUGUACUUCAUUUGGGAGAUAGGGGGCAGUAGUUGUACUGGUGCUGGGACGUAAGAGGUGUAGCCUUACUUCAUCUGGGAGAUAGGGGGCAGUAGUUGUAAUGGUGCUGGGAUGUAAGAGGUGUAGCUGUACUUCAUCUGGGAGAUAGGGGGCAGUAGUUGUAAUGGUGCUGGGAUGUAAGAGGUGUAGCUGUACUUCAUCUGGGAGAUAGGGGCAGUAGUUAUACUGGUGCUGUUAUGUAAGAGGUGUAGCUGUACUUCAUCUAGAAGAUAGGGGGCAGUAGUUGUACUGAUGCUGGGAUGUAAGAGGUGUAGCUGUACUUCAUCUGGGAGAUAGGGGGCAGUAGUUGUACUGGUGCUGGGAUGUAAGAGGUGUAGCUGUACUUCAUCUGGGAGAUAGGGGGCAGUAGUUGUACUGAUGCUGGGAUGUAAGCGGUGUAACUACUUCAUCUGGGAGAUAAGGGGCAGUAGUUGUACUGGUGCUGGGAUGUGAGCGGUGUAGCUGUACUUCAUCUGGGAGAUAGGGGGCAGUAGUUGUACUGGUGCUGGGAUGUAAGAGGUGUAGCUGUACUUCAUCUGGGAGAUAGGGGGCAGUAGUUAUACUGGUGCUGGGAUGUAAGAGGUGUAGCUGUACUUCAUCUGGGAGAUAGGGGGCAGUAGUUAUACUGGUGCUGGGAUGUAAGAGGUGUAACUGUACUUCAUCUGGGAGAUAGGGGGCAGUAGUUGUACUGGUGCUGGGAUGUAAGAGGUGUAGCUGUACUUCAUCUGGGAGAUAGGGGGCAGUAGUUGUACUGGUACUGGGGUGUAAGAGAUGUAGCUGUACUUCAUCUGGGAGAUAGGGGGCAGUAGUUGUACUGGUGCUGGGAUGUAAGAGGUGUAGCUGUAUUUUAUUUGGGAGAUAGGUGGCAGUAGUUGUACUGGUGCUGGGAUGUAAGAAGUGUAGCUGUACUUCAUCUGGGAGAUAGGGGCAGUAGUUAUACUGGUGCUGGGAUGUAAGAGGUGUAGCUGUACUUCAUCUAGAAGAUAGGGGGCAGUAGUUGUACUGAUGCUGGGAUGUAAGAGGUGUAUCUGUACUUCAUCUGGGAGAUAGGGGGCAGUAGUUGUACUGGUGCUGGGAUGUAAGAGGUGUAGCUGUACUUCAUCUGGGAGAUAGGGGGCAGUAGUUGUACUGAUGCUGGGAUGUAAGCGGUGUAACUACUUCAUCUGGGAGAUAGGGGGCAGUAGUUAUACUGGUGCUGGGAUGUGAGCGGUGUAGCUGUACUUCAUCUGGGAGAUAGGGGGCAGUAGUUGUACUGGUGCUGGGAUGUAAGAGGUGUAGCUGUACUUCAUCUGGGAGAUAGGGGACAGUAGUUAUACUGGUGCUGGGAUGUAAGAGGUGUAGCUGUACUUCAUCUGGGAGAUAGGGGGCAGUAGUUAUACUGGUGCUGGGAUGUAAGAGGUGUAGCUGUACUUCAUCUUGGAGAUAGGGGGCAGUAGUUGUACUGGUGCUGGGAUGUAAGAGGUGUAGCUGUACUUCAUCUGGGAGAUAGGGGGCAGUAGUUGUACUGGUACUGGGGUGUAAGAGAUGUAGCUGUACUUCAUCUGGGAGAUAGGGGGCAGUAGUUGUACUGGUGCUGGGAUGUAAGAGGUGUAGUUGUACUUCCUUCAUCUGGAGAUUGGGGGCAGUAGUGGCACUGGUGCUGGGAUGUAAGAGGUGUAGCUGUACUUCAUCUGGAGAUAGGGGGCAGUAGUUGUAAUGGUGCUGGGAUGUAAGAGGUGUAGCUGUACUUCAUCUGGGAGAUAGGAGCAGUAGUUAUACUGGUGCUGUUAUGUAAGAGGUGUAGCUGUACUUCAUCUAGAAGAUAGGGGGCAGUAGUUGUACUGAUGCUGGGAUGUAAGAGGUGUAGCUGUACUUCAUCUGGGAGAUAGGGGGCAGUAGUUGUACUGGUGCUGGGAUAUAAGAGGUGUAGCUGUACUUCAUCUGGGAGAUAGGGGGCAGUAGUUGUACUGAUGCUGGGAUGUAAGUGGUGUAACUACUUCAUCUGGGAGAUAGGGGGCAGUAGUUGUACUGGUGCUGGGAUGUGAGCGGUAUAGCUGUACUUCAUCUGGGAGAUAGGGGGCAGUAUUUGUACUGGUGCUGGGAUGUAAGAGGUGUAGCUGUACUUCAUCUGGGAGAUAGGGGCAGUAGUUAUACUGGUGCUGUUAUGUAAGAGGUGUAGCUGUACUUCAUCUAGAAGAUAGGGGGCAGUAGUUGUACUGAUGCUGGGAUGUAAGAGGUGUAGCUGUACUUCAUCUGGGAGAUAGGGGGCAGUAGUUGUACUGGUGCUGGGAUGUAAGAGGUGUAGCUGUACUUCAUCUGGAAGAUAGGGGGCAGUAGUUGUACUGAUGCUGGGAUGUAAGCGGUGUAACUACUUCAUCUGGGAGAUAAGGGGCAGUAGUUGUACUGGUGCUGGGAUGUGAGCGGUGUAGCUGUACUUCAUCUGGGAGAUAGGGGGCAGUAGUUGUACUGGUGCUGGGAUGUAAGAGGUGUAGCUGUACUUCAUCUGGGAGAUAGGGGACAGUAGUUAUACUGGUGCUGGGAUGUAAGAGGUGUAGCUGUACUUCAUCUGGGAGAUAGGGGGCAGUAGUUAUACUGGUGCUGGGAUGUAAGAGGUGUAACUGUACUUCAUCUGGGAGAUAGGGGGCAGUAGUGGUACUGGUGCUGGGAUGUAAGAGGUGUAGUUGUACUUCAUCUGGGAGAUAGGGGGCAGUAGUUGUACUGGUACUGGGGUGUAAGAGAUGUAGCUGUACUUCAUCUGGGAGAUAGGGGGCAGUAGUUGUACUGGUGCUGGGAUGUAAGAGGUGUAGCUGUAUUUUAUUUGGGAGAUAGGUGGCAGUAGUUGUACUGGUGCUGGGAUGUAAGAAGUGUAGCUGUACUUCAUCUGGGAGAUAGGGGCAGUAGUUAUACUGGUGCUGGGAUGUAAGAGGUGUAGCUGUACUUCAUCUAGAAGAUAGGGGGCAGUAGUUGUACUGAUGCUGGGAUGUAAGAGGUGUAUCUGUACUUCAUCUGGGAGAUAGGGGGCAGUAGUUGUACUGGUGCUGGGAUGUAAGAGGUGUAGCUGUACUUCAUCUGGGAGAUAGGGGGCAGUAGUUGUACUGAUGCUGGGAUGUAAGCGGUGUAACUACUUCAUCUGGGAGAUAGGGGGCAGUAGUUAUACUGGUGCUGGGAUGUGAGCGGUGUAGCUGUACUUCAUCUGGGAGAUAGGGGGCAGUAGUUGUACUGGUGCUGGGAUGUAAGAGGUGUAGCUGUACUUCAUCUGGGAGAUAGGGGACAGUAGUUAUACUGGUGCUGGGAUGUAAGAGGUGUAGCUGUACUUCAUCUGGGAGAUAGGGGGCAGUAGUUAUACUGGUGCUGGGAUGUAAGAGGUGUAACUGUACUUCAUCUGGGAGAUAGGGGGCAGUAGUUGUACUGGUGCUGGGAUGUAAGAGGUGUAGCUGUACUUCAUCUGGGAGAUAGGGGGCAGUAGUUGUACUGGUACUGGGGUGUAAGAGAUGUAGCUGUACUUCAUCUGGGAGAUAGGGGGCAGUAGUUGUACUGGUGCUGGGAUCUAAGAGGUGUAGCUGUAUUUUAUUUGGGAGAUAGGUGGCAGUAGUUGUACUGGUGCUGGGAUGUAAGAGGUGUAGCUGUACUUCAUCUGGGAGAUAGGGGGCAGUAGUUGUACUGGUGCUGGGAUGUAAGAGGUAUAGCUGUACUUCAUCUGGUAGAUAGGGGGCAGUAGUUGCACUAGUGCUGGGAUGUAAGAGGUGUAACUGUACUUCAUCUGGGAGAUAGGGAGCAGUAGUUAUUCUGGUGCUGGGAUGUAAGAGGUGUAGUUGUACUUCAUCUGGGAGAUAGGGAGCAGUAGUUAUACUGGUGCUGGGAUGUAAGAGGUGUAGUUGUACUUCCUUCAUCUGGAGAUAGGGGGCAGUAGUGGCACUGGUGCUGGGAUGUAAGAGGUGUAGCUGUACUUCAUCUGGAGAUAGGGGGCAGUAGUUAUUCUGGUGCUGGGAUGUAGGAGGUGUAGCUGUACUUCAUCUGGGAGAUAGGGGGCAGUAGUGGCACUGGUGCUGGGAUGUAAGAGGUGUAACUGUACGUCAUCUGGGAGAUAGGGAGCAGUAGUGGCACUGGUGCUGGGAUGUAAGAGGUGUAGCUGUACUUCAUCUGGGAGAUAGGGGGCAGUAGUGGCACUGGUGCUGGGAUGUAAGAGGUGUAGCUAUACUUCAUCUGGGAGAUAGGGGGCAGUAGUGGCACUGGUGCUAGGAUGUAAGAGGUGUAGCUAUACUUCAUCUGGAGAUAGGGGGCAGUAGUUGUACUGGUGCUGGGAUGUAAGAGGUGUAGCUGUACUUCAUCUGGGAGAUAGGGGGCAGUAGUUGUACUGGUCCUGGGAUGUAAGAGGUGUAGUUGUACUUCAUCUGGAGAUAGGGGGCAGUAGUGUCACUGGUGCUGGGAUGUAAGAGGUGUAAAUGUACUUCAUCUGGGAGAUAGGGGGCAGUAGUUGUACUGGUGCUGGGAUGUAAGAGGUGUAGCUGUAUUUCAUCUGGGAGAUAGGGGGCAGUAGUUGCACUGGUGCUGGGAUGUAAGAGGUUUAGCUGUACUUCAUCUGGGAGAUAGGGGGCAGUAGUUGUACUGGUGCUGGGAUGUAAGAGGUGUAGCUGUACUUCAUCUGGGAGAUAGGGGGUAGUAGUUGCACUGGUGCUGAGAUGUAAGAGGUCUAGCUGUACUUCUUUUGGGAGAUAGGGGGCAGUAGUUGCACUGGUGCUGGGAUGUAAGAGGUGUAACUGUACUUCAUCUGGGAGAUAGGGGGCAGUAGUUGUACUGGUGCUGGGAUGUAAGAGGUGUAGCUGUACUUCAUCUGGGAGAUAGGGGGCAGUAGUUGUACUGGUGCUGGGAUGUAAGAGGUGUAGCUGUACUUCAUCUGGGAGAUAGGGGGCAGUAGUUGUACUGGUGCUGGGAUGUAAGAGGUGUAGCUGUACUUCAUCUGGGAGAUAGGGGGCAGUAGUUGUACUGGUGCUGGGAUGUAAGAGGUGUAGCUGUACUUCAUCUGGGAGAUGGGGGCAGUAGUUGUACUGGUGCUGGGAUGUAAGAGGUAUAGCUGUACUUCAUCUGGGAGAUGGGGGCAGUAAUGUCACUGGUGCUGGGAUGUAAGAGGUGUAGCUGUACUUCAUCUGGGAGAUAGGGGGCAGUAGUUGUACUGGUGCUUGGAUGUAAGAGGUGUAGCUGUACUUCAUCUGGGAGAUAGGGGGCAGCAGUUGUACUGGUGCUGGGAUGUAAGAGGUGUAGCUGUACUUCAUCUGGGAGAUAGGGGGCAGUAGUUGUAUUGGUGCUGGGAUGUAAGAGGUGUAGCUGUACUUCAUCUGGGAGAUAGGGGGCAGUAGUUGUACUGGUGCUGGGAUGUAAGAGGUAUAGCUGUACUUCAUCUAGGAGAUAGGGGCAGUAGUGUCACUGGUGCUGGGCUGUAAGAGGUAUAGCUGUACUUCAUCUGGGAGAUAGGGGGCAGUAGUGUCACUGGUGCUGGGAUGUAAGAGGUGUAGCUGUACUUCAUCUGGGAGAUAGGGGGCAGUAGUGGCACUAGUGCUUGGAUGUAAGAGGUGUAGCUGUACUUCAUCUGGGAGAUAGGGGGCAGUAGUGGCACUGAUGCUGGGGUGUAAGAGGUGUAGCUGUACUUCAUAUUGGAGAUAGGGGACAGUAGUGGCACUGGUGCUGGGAUGUAAGAGGUGUAGCUGUACUUCAUCUGGGAGAUAGGGGGCAGUAGUGGCACUGAUGCUGGGAUGUAAGAGGUGUAACUGUACUUCAUCUGGGAGAUAGGGGGCAGUAGUUGUACUGGUGCUGGGAUGUAAGAGGUGUAGCUGUACUUCAUCUGGGAGAUGGGGGCAGUAGUUAUACUGGUGUUGGGAUGUAAGAGGUGUAACUGUACUUCAUCUGGGAGAUAGGGGGCAGUAGUUGUACUGGUGCUGGGAUGUAAGAGGUGUAGCUGUACUUCAUCUUGGAGAUAGGGGACAAUAGUGGCACUGGUGCUGGGAUGUAAGAGGUGUAGCUGUACUUCAUCUGGGAGAUAGGGGGCAGUAGUUAUACUGGUGCUGGGAUGUAAGCGAUGUAGCUGUACUUCAUUUGGGAGAUAGGGGGCAGUAGUUGUACUGGUGCUGGGACGUAAGAGGCGUAGCCUUACUUCAUCUGGGAGAUAGGGGGCAGUAGUUGUAAUGGUGCUGGGAUGUAAGAGGUGUAGCUGUACUUCAUCUGGGAGAUAGGGGGCAGUAGUUGUAAUGGUGCUGGGAUGUAAGAGGUGUAGCUGUACUUCAUCUGGGAGAUAGGGGCAGUAGUUAUACUGGUGCUGUUAUGUAAGAGGUGUAGCUGUACUUCAUCUAGAAGAUAGGGGGCAGUAGUUGUACUGAUGCUGGGAUGUAAGAGGUGUAGCUGUACUUCAUCUGGGAGAUAGGGGGCAGUAGUUGUACUGGUGCUGGGAUGUAAGAGGUGUAGCUGUACUUCAUCUGGAAGAUAGGGGGCAGUAGUUGUACUGAUGCUGGGAUGUAAGCGGUGUAACUACUUCAUCUGGGAGAUAAGGGGCAGUAGUUGUACUGGUGCUGGGAUGUGAGCGGUGUAGCUGUACUUCAUCUGGGAGAUAGGGGGCAGUAGUUGUACUGGUGCUGGGAUGUAAGAGGUGUAGCUGUACUUCAUCUGGGAGAUAGGGGACAGUAGUUAUACUGGUGCUGGGAUGUAAGAGGUGUAGCUGUACUUCAUCUGGGAGAUAGGGGGCAGUAGUUAUACUGGUGCUGGGAUGUAAGAGGUGUAUCUGUACUUCAUCUGGGAGAUAGGGGGCAGUAGUUGUACUGGUGCUGGGAUGUAAGAGGUGUAGCUGUACUUCAUCUGGGAGAUAGGGGGCAGUAGUUGUACUGGUACUGGGGUGCAAGAGAUGUAGCUGUACUUCAUCUGGGAGAUAGGGGGCAGUAGUUGUACUGGUGCUGGGAUCUAAGAGGUGUAGCUGUAUUUUAUUUGGGAGAUAGGUGGCAGUAGUUGUACUGGUGCUGGGAUGUAAGAAGUGUAGCUGUACUUCAUCUGGGAGAUAGGGGCAGUAGUUAUACUGGUGCUGGGAUGUAAGAGGUGUAGCUGUACUUCAUCUAGAAGAUAGGGGGCAGUAGUUGUACUGAUGCUGGGAUGUAAGAGGUGUAUCUGUACUUCAUCUGGGAGAUAGGGGGCAGUAGUUGUACUGGUGCUGGGAUGUAAGAGGUGUAGCUGUACUUCAUCUGGGAGAUAGGGGGCAGUAGUUGUACUGAUGCUGGGAUGUAAGCGGUGUAACUACUUCAUCUGGGAGAUAGGGGGCAGUAGUUAUACUGGUGCUGGGAUGUGAGCGGUGUAGCUGUACUUCAUCUGGGAGAUAGGGGGCAGUAGUUGUACUGGUGCUGGGAUGUAAGAGGUGUAGCUGUACUUCAUCUGGGAGAUAGGGGACAGUAGUUAUACUGGUGCUGGGAUGUAGGAGGUGUAGCUGUACUUCAUCUGGGAGAUAGGGGGCAGUAGUUAUACUGGUGCUGGGAUGUAAGAGGUGUAACUGUACUUCAUCUUGGAGAUAGGGGGCAGUAGUUGUACUGGUGCUGGGAUGUAAGAGGUGUAGCUGUACUUCAUCUGGGAGAUAGGGGGCAGUAGUUGUACUGGUACUGGGGUGUAAGAGAUGUAGCUGUACUUCAUCUGGGAGAUAGGGGGCAGUAGUUGUACUGGUGCUGGGAUGUAAGAGGUGUAGUUGUACUUCCUUCAUCUGGAGAUUGGGGGCAGUAGUGGCACUGGUGCUGGGAUGUAAGAGGUGUAGCUGUACUUCAUCUGGAGAUAGGGGGCAGUAGUUGUAAUGGUGCUGGGAUGUAAGAGGUGUAGCUGUACUUCAUCUGGGAGAUAGGAGCAGUAGUUAUACUGGUGCUGUUAUGUAAGAGGUGUAGCUGUACUUCAUCUAGAAGAUAGGGGGCAGUAGUUGUACUGAUGCUGGGAUGUAAGAGGUGUAGCUGUACUUCAUCUGGGAGAUAGGGGGCAGUAGUUGUACUGGUGCUGGGAUAUAAGAGGUGUAGCUGUACUUCAUCUGGGAGAUAGGGGGCAGUAGUUGUACUGAUGCUGGGAUGUAAGUGGUGUAACUACUUCAUCUGGGAGAUAGGGGGCAGUAGUUGUACUGGUGCUGGGAUGUGAGCGGUAUAGCUGUACUUCAUCUGGGAGAUAGGGGGCAGUAUUUGUACUGGUGCUGGGAUGUAAGAGGUGUAGCUGUACUUCAUCUGGGAGAUAGGGGACAGUAGUUAUACUGGUGCUGGGAUGUAAGAGUUGUAGCUGUACUUCAUCUGGGAGAUAGGGGGCAGUAGUUAUACUGGUGCUGGGAUGUAAGAGGUGUAACUGUACUUCAUCUGGGAGAUAGGGGGCAGUAGUUAUACUGGUGCUGGGAUGUAAGAGGUGUAACUGUACUUCAUCUGGGAGAUAGGGGGCAGUAGUUGUACUGGUGCUGGGAUGUAAGAGGUGUAGCUGUACUUCAUCUGGGAGAUAGGGGGCAGUAGUUGUACUGGUGCUGGGACGUAAGAGGCGUAGCCUUACUUCAUCUGGGAGAUAGGGGGCAGUAGUUGUAAUGGUGCUGGGAUGUAAGAGGUGUAGCUGUACUUCAUCUGGGAGAUAGGGGCAGUAGUUAUACUGGUGCUGUUAUGUAAGAGGUGUAGCUGUACUUCAUCUAGAAGAUAGGGGGCAGUAGUUGUACUGAUGCUGGGAUGUAAGAGGUGUAGCUGUACUUCAUCUGGGAGAUAGGGGGCAGUAGUUGUACUGGUGCUGGGAUGUAAGAGGUGUAGCUGUACUUCAUCUGGAAGAUAGGUGGCAGUAGUUGUACUGAUGCUGGGAUGUAAGCGGUGUAACUACUUCAUCUGGGAGAUAAGGGGCAGUAGUUGUACUGGUGCUGGGAUGUGAGCGGUGUAGCUGUACUUCAUCUGGGAGAUAGGGGGCAGUAGUUGUACUGGUGCUGGGAUGUAAGAGGUGUAGCUGUACUUCAUCUGGGAGAUAGGGGACAGUAGUUAUACUGGUGCUGGGAUGUAAGAGGUGUAGCUGUACUUCAUCUGGGAGAUAGGGGGCAGUAGUUAUACUGGUGCUGGGAUGUAAGAGGUGUAACUGUACUUCAUCUGGGAGAUAGGGGGCAGUAGUUGUACUGGUGCUGGGAUGUAAGAGGUGUAGCUGUACUUCAUCUGGGAGAUAGGGGGCAGUAGUUGUACUGGUACUGGGGUGUAAGAGAUGUAGCUGUACUUCAUCUGGGAGAUAGGGGGCAGUAGUUGUACUGGUGCUGGGAUCUAAGAGGUGUAGCUGUAUUUUAUUUGGGAGAUAGGUGGCAGUAGUUGUACUGGUGCUGGGAUGUAAGAAGUGUAGCUGUACUUCAUCUGGGAGAUAGGGGCAGUAGUUAUACUGGUGCUGGGAUGUAAGAGGUGUAGCUGUACUUCAUCUAGAAGAUAGGGGGCAGUAGUUGUACUGAUGCUGGGAUGUAAGAGGUGUAUCUGUACUUCAUCUGGGAGAUAGGGGGCAGUAGUUGUACUGGUGCUGGGAUGUAAGAGGUGUAGCUGUACUUCAUCUGGGAGAUAGGGGGCAGUAGUUGUACUGAUGCUGGGAUGUAAGCGGUGUAACUACUUCAUCUGGGAGAUAGGGGGCAGUAGUUAUACUGGUGCUGGGAUGUGAGCGGUGUAGCUGUACUUCAUCUGGGAGAUAGGGGGCAGUAGUUGUACUGGUGCUGGGAUGUAAGAGGUGUAGCUGUACUUCAUCUGGGAGAUAGGGGACAGUAGUUAUACUGGUGCUGGGAUGUAAGAGGUGUAGCUGUACUUCAUCUGGGAGAUAGGGGGCAGUAGUUAUACUGGUGCUGGGAUGUAAGAGGUGUAACUGUACUUCAUCUUGGAGAUAGGGGGCAGUAGUUGUACUGGUGCUGGGAUGUAAGAGGUGUAGCUGUACUUCAUCUGGGAGAUAGGGGGCAGUAGUUGUACUGGUACUGGGGUGUAAGAGAUGUAGCUGUACUUCAUCUGGGAGAUAGGGGGCAGUAGUUGUACUGGUGCUGGGAUGUAAGAGGUGUAGUUGUACUUCCUUCAUCUGGAGAUUGGGGGCAGUAGUGGCACUGGUGCUGGGAUGUAAGAGGUGUAGCUGUACUUCAUCUGGAGAUAGGGGGCAGUAGUUGUAAUGGUGCUGGGAUGUAAGAGGUGUAGCUGUACUUCAUCUGGGAGAUAGGAGCAGUAGUUAUACUGGUGCUGUUAUGUAAGAGGUGUAGCUGUACUUCAUCUAGAAGAUAGGGGGCAGUAGUUGUACUGAUGCUGGGAUGUAAGAGGUGUAGCUGUACUUCAUCUGGGAGAUAGGGGGCAGUAGUUGUACUGGUGCUGGGAUAUAAGAGGUGUAGCUGUACUUCAUCUGGGAGAUAGGGGGCAGUAGUUGUACUGAUGCUGGGAUGUAAGUGGUGUAACUACUUCAUCUGGGAGAUAGGGGGCAGUAGUUGUACUGGUGCUGGGAUGUGAGCGGUAUAGCUGUACUUCAUCUGGGAGAUAGGGGGCAGUAUUUGUACUGGUGCUGGGAUGUAAGAGGUGUAGCUGUACUUCAUCUGGGAGAUAGGGGACAGUAGUUAUACUGGUGCUGGGAUGUAAGAGUUGUAGCUGUACUUCAUCUGGGAGAUAGGGGGCAGUAGUUAUACUGGUGCUGGGAUGUAAGAGGUGUAACUGUACUUCAUCUGGGAGAUAGGGGGCAGUAGUUGUACUGGUGCUGGGAUGUAAGAGGUGUAGCUGUACUUCAUCUGGGAGAUAGGGGGCAGUAGUUGUACUGGUACUGGGGUGUAAGAGAUGUAGCUGUACUUCAUCUGGGAGAUAGGGGGCAGUAGUUGUACUGGUGCUGGGAUCUAAGAGGUGUAGCUGUAUUUUAUUUGGGAGAUAGGUGGCAGUAGUUGUACUGGUGCUGGGAUGUAAGAGGUGUAGCUGUACUUCAUCUGGGAGAUAGGGGGCAGUAGUUGUACUGGUGCUGGGAUGUAAGAGGUGUAGCUGUACUUCAUCUGGUAGAUAGGGGGCAGUAGUUGCACUAGUGCUGGGAUGUAAGAGGUGUAACUGUACUUCAUCUGGGAGAUAGGGAGCAGUAGUUAUUCUGGUGCUGGGAUGUAAGAGGUGUAGUUGUACUUCAUCUGGGAGAUAGGGAGCAGUAGUUAUACUGGUGCUGGGAUGUAAGAGGUGUAGUUGUACUUCCUUCAUCUGGAGAUAGGGGGCAGUAGUGGCACUGGUGCUGGGAUGUAAGAGGUGUAGCUGUACUUCAUCUGGAGAUAGGGGGCAGUAGUUAUUCUGGUGCUGGGAUGUAGGAGGUGUAGCUGUACUUCAUCUGGGAGAUAGGGGGCAGUAGUGGCACUGGUGUUGGGAUGUAAGAGGUGUAACUGUACGUCAUCUGGGAGAUAGGGAGCAGUAGUGGCACUGGUGCUGGGAUGUAAGAGGUGUAGCUGUACUUCAUCUGGGAGAUAGGGGGCAGUAGUGGCACUGGUGCUGGGAUGUAAGAGGUGUAGCUAUACUUCAUCUGGGAGAUAGGGGGCAGUAGUGGCACUGGUGCUAGGAUGUAAGAGGUGUAGCUAUACUUCAUCUGGAGAUAGGGGGCAGUAGUUGUACUGGUGCUGGGAUGUAAGAGGUGUAGCUGUACUUCAUCUGGGAGAUAGGGGGCAGUAGUUGUACUGGUCCUGGGAUGUAAGAGGUGUAGUUGUACUUCAUCUGGAGAUAGGGGGCAGUAGUGUCACUGGUGCUGGGAUGUAAGAGGUGUAAAUGUACUUCAUCUGGGAGAUAGGGGGCAGUAGUUGUACUGGUGCUGGGAUGUAAGAGGUGUAGCUGUAUUUCAUCUGGGAGAUAGGGGGCAGUAGUUGCACUGGUGCUGGGAUGUAAGAGGUUUAGCUGUACUUCAUCUGGGAGAUAGGGGGCAGUAGUUGUACUGGUGCUGGGAUGUAAGAGGUGUAGCUGUACUUCAUCUGGGAGAUAGGGGGUAGUAGUUGCACUGGUGCUGAGAUGUAAGAGGUCUAGCUGUACUUCUUUUGGGAGAUAGGGGGCAGUAGUUGCACUGGUGCUGGGAUGUAAGAGGUGUAACUGUACUUCAUCUGGGAGAUAGGGGGCAGUAGUUGUACUGGUGCUGGGAUGUAAGAGGUGUAGCUGUACUUCAUCUGGGAGAUAGGGGGCAGUAGUUGUACUGGUGCUGGGAUGUAAGAGGUGUAGCUGUACUUCAUCUGGGAGAUAGGGGGCAGUAGUUGUACUGGUGCUGGGAUGUAAGAGGUGUAGCUGUACUUCAUCUGGGAGAUAGGGGGCAGUAGUUGUACUGGUGCUGGGAUGUAAGAGGUGUAGCUGUACUUCAUCUGGGAGAUGGGGGCAGUAGUUGUACUGGUGCUGGGAUGUAAGAGGUAUAGCUGUACUUCAUCUGGGAGAUGGGGGCAGUAAUGUCACUGGUGCUGGGAUGUAAGAGGUGUAGCUGUACUUCAUCUGGGAGAUAGGGGGCAGUAGUUGUACUGGUGCUUGGAUGUAAGAGGUGUAGCUGUACUUCAUCUGGGAGAUAGGGGGCAGCAGUUGUACUGGUGCUGGGAUGUAAGAGGUGUAGCUGUACUUCAUCUGGGAGAUAGGGGGCAGUAGUUGUAUUGGUGCUGGGAUGUAAGAGGUGUAGCUGUACUUCAUCUGGGAGAUAGGGGGCAGUAGUUGUACUGGUGCUGGGAUGUAAGAGGUAUAGCUGUACUUCAUCUAGGAGAUAGGGGCAGUAGUGUCACUGGUGCUGGGCUGUAAGAGGUAUAGCUGUACUUCAUCUGGGAGAUAGGGGGCAGUAGUGUCACUGGUGCUGGGAUGUAAGAGGUGUAGCUGUACUUCAUCUGGGAGAUAGGGGGCAGUAGUUGUACUGGUGCUGGGAUGUAAGAGGUGUAGUUGUACUUCAUCUGGGAGAUAGGGGGCAGUAGUUGUACUGGUGCUGGGAUGUAAGAGGUGUAGCUGUACUUCAUCUGGGAGAUAGGGGGCAGUAGUUGUACUGGUGCUGGGAUUUAAGAGGUGUAGCUGUACUUCAUCUGGAGAUAGCGGGCAGUAGUUGUACUGGUGCUGGGAUGUAAGAGGUGUAGCUGUACAUCAUCUGGAGAUAGGGGGAAGUAGUGGUACUGGUGCUGGGAUGUAAGAGGUGUAGUUGUACUUCCUUCAUCUGGAGAUAGGGGGCAGUAGUUGUACUGGUGCUGGGAUGUAAGAGCUGUAGCUGUACUUCAUCUGGGAGAUAGGGGGCAGUAGUGUCACUGGUGCUGGGAUGUAAGAGGUGUAGCUGUACUUUAUCUGGGAGAUAGGGGGCAGUAGUUGCACUGGUGCUGGGAUGUAAGAGGUGUAGCUGUACUUCAUCUGGGAGAUAGGGGGCAGUAGUUAUUCUGGUGCUGGGAUAUAAGAGGUGUAGCUGUACUUCAUCUGGGAGAUAGGGGGCAGUAGUUGUACUGGUGCUGGGAUGUAAGAGGUGUAGCUGUACUUCAUCUGGGAGAUAGGGGGCAGUAGUUCUACAAUUAUUGGAUGUAAGAGGUUUAGCUGUAUUUCAUCUGGAUACAAACAGUCCUCAGAACCAUAUAUAUUCUUCUGUUUUAAUAAAUCAUCACACAAGGGUAGAGCAACAAAAAAACAAGCAACAUUUCGGGAUAUUAUCACUUAAUCAUGCUCAAAAAUGUUACUGCAAAUAUACAAGUAAGGAAACAGCACACCUUUAGUUGAGCAGUCCUCGGAGUGAGCUUACCAUGCCCACAGCAUUCAAAACAACAAGAAAUCCUCCAGCUGCUGUAUUAAAAAAGACUUUUAUUUUUCACAAUGCAGGGUCCAAUAAAGCAAAGCGACGUUUCAGGCUAAUACUCAGCACUUGCUCAUGCUAAGCAUGAGUAAGGGGCUGAGUAUUAGCCCGUAACAUCAGUUUUAUUGGACCCUGCAUUGUGAAAACUAAAAGUCUUUUUUAAUACAGCAGCUUUAGGAUUUCUUGUUCUUUUAAAAAAUGGUACUGCCAAGGGGUGGCAGAAUGAUUUAACUGCCCUUUAGCUACAAUACAGAGGGUAAUAAUUACAGCGCUGAGUUUAUGUGGGGAGAGGGAGGCACUGGGCAAUAGUUGCAUUACUCAUGGGGUGUACAAUAGGUAGUGGUGCCUUAUUUGGUGUUUAGGGGAUAGUAGUUGCUGUACUGUACCUGGGUAGCAGGGUAGCCAUAUUGUAGUUGAGCAGAAAGGCCAGUAACUGUACUGUGGCUGGGAAACAGGGGUACAAUAAUGCUGAGUAACAGGACGUAGUCGUACUGCAGGUGGGCAGAAGGGGCAAUAGCUGUACUCUAAAUUACAGUUGAGCCAACUUUUAUGACAAAAACAGAGGGGGUUAUACAGUGUCUAGUAAAUCUGUGGCAAAAGCUUAUUGUUACUUGGAACCUGGGGGUAGUAAGUAGCUUUACUUUAGUUUGGACAGUUGGAUAGUAUUAUAUAGGUAGAUAGUUAGAAAUAUAUAUAUAUAUAUUCACUGUAUAUACUGUAUGUAGUUAUAUGUGUGUAUAUAUAUAUAUAUAUAUAUAUAUAAAUAUAUAUAUAUAUACUGAAUGUAGAUAAAUGUAUGUAUAUGUGUGUAUAUAUAUAUUUAUAUAUAUAUAUAUAUAUAUAUAUAUACUGUAUAAAGGGGAAUUGCUGUAGUUGAACACAGUACUGGAAGCAAAAAGCAUGAGACAUUGUAUAUCUAAUUUGCACUUCUGGGGGAAAGCAAGCGGGGAUACUUUCCUAGAUUUACUAAUUUUCUAUACAAUCAUUCUAUAUAUAUAUUCUAACUACACUUUUUGCAGCACAUGGAAUGUGCCUUCCUUGCUAUUUUGUUCACUUUAGGCUUUUGAACAAGAGUGGUCCAUUUCCUGUGCUAAGAAACAAUGACUGUAGUUGGGCAGCAUAUGAUUUUGAAAGCUUCCAUAAAAAAUACAUUCUUUAGAGAGUCAAUGAGCCUAUGAUGGAACAAACAGUAAACAAAAUCCAGCAAGCUCAAUCAUAGAUAAAAUGCCCUGUUCUACUUAUGAAUUCUAAUUGGCUAGCUUGCACUAUAAUUCUACAUGCAUGAAAAUGAAACAUAAAAACUG